GCUGGGCAUGGUGGUGCAUGCCUGUAAUCCCAGCGGCUUGUGAGGCAGAGGCAGGAGGAUUGAAAGUUCAAAGCAAGCCUCAGCAACUUAGUGAGGCCCUAAGCAACUUAGCAAGACUCUAUCUCUA
rnacentral:sRNA from 1 species